UGAGGAAUCUGUCCAUCGGCGGGGGAUAGCCGGCCCAACGGCCGGGUAAUACCGCGUACGUCGGCGGGAGCGCAUGCUCCUGCCGGGAAAGCAGCAAUGCACCGAUGGAGGAUCUCGCGGCCUAUCAGCUUGUUGGUGAGGUCACGGCUCACCAAGGCGACGACGGGUAGCCGGCCUGAGAGGGUGACCGGCCACACUGGGACUGAGACACGGCCCAGACUCCUAGGAGG
rnacentral:rRNA from 1 species